UUAAAUAUUAAAAAAGUAGAAUUAAUAUAUAUGAAUUAAAAAAUAGUACCAAAAUACAAAUUACAUUAAAAAAAUUCUAAUCUAAAGCGGCUUCCAGGUCUUGCUCAUCACCGAGCUCCUUAGUUGUGGUUGGCUUAUCUACUAGAGGCUGGGGGGGGUCAGCGUUGGAGGAAUGGUGAUUGUGGCGGUGAUGCGGUCCUCUAUGAUGGUCCCACAGUCGACGCGCGCCUCUGUGCCCAGACCGAAUACAUGGACCUUAUUUCGAUUGCAGACUAUCGAGAUCCAUAGUUGUUGCCCGGUCUAAGCCACAGAGCCUGCUGAAGAAGCAAGAAGCUCUUGCUCAUGACGGGUGCCUAGAGCUAUCGGUCCUCCAGCAACUUUUAGAAGAUCUCUAAAUAAAAAAGAAUUAAUUAGUGAAAAACAAACAACAAGUGUUACUUUUUUAUGUCCUUAUCACUACUUGCACUGCCCUCGAUCCAUUCUAAUUAGUGUUGACUUUCUUGUUGUAGCA